rnacentral:rRNA from 1 species
UACGGGGGGGGCAAGCGUUGUUCGGAAUUACUGGGCGUAAAGGGCUCGUAGGCGGCCAACUAAGUCGGACGUGAAAUCCCUCGGCUUAACCGGGGAACUGCGUCCGAUACUGGAUGGCUUGAGUUCGGGAGAGGGAUGCGGAAUUCCAGGUGUAGCGGUGAAAUGCGUAGAUAUCUGGAGGAACACCGGUGGCGAAAGCGGCUCUCUGGCCCGGUUCUGACGCUGAGGCGCGAAAGCGUGGGGAGCAAACAGGG